rnacentral:rRNA from 1 species
CCUACGGGAGGCAGCAGUGAGGAAUAUUGGUCAAUGGCCGUAAGGCUGAACCAGCCAAGUCGCGUGAAGGAAGAAGGAUCUAUGGUGUGUAAACUUCUGUUAUAGGGGAAUAAAGGUAACCACGUGUGGAUAUUUGCAUGUACCCUAUGAAUAAGCAUCGGCUAACUCCGUGCCAGCAGCCGCGGUAAUACGGAGGAUGCGAGCGUUAUCCGGAUUUCUUGGGUUUACAGGGUGCGUAGGGUGUUUUUUAAGUCAGCGGUGAAAGUUUGUGGCUCAACCAUAAAAUUGCCGUUGAAACUGGCAGACUUUCUUGUGUUUGUGUUCGGCUGCAUGCUUGGUGUAGCGGUGAC